rnacentral:rRNA from 1 species
UACGUAGGGUGCAAGCGUUAAUCGGAAUUACUGGGCGUAAAGCGUGCGCAGGCGGUGAUGUAAGUCAGAUGUGAAAUCCCCGGGCUCAACCUGGGAACUGCAUUUGUGACUGCAUCGCUAGAGUACGGCAGAGGGGGAUGGAAUUCCGCGUGUAGCAGUGAAAUGCAUAGAUAUGCGGAGGAACACCGAUGGCGAAGGCAAUCCCCUGGGCCUGUACUGACGCUCAUGCACGAAAGCGUGGGGAGCAAACAGG